GACGAACGCUGGCGGCGUGCUUAACACAUGCAAGUCGAACGGAAAGGCCCUGCUUUUGUGGGGUGCUCGAGUGGCGAACGGGUGAGUAACACGUGAGUAACCUGCCCUUGACUUUGGGAUAACUUCAGGAAACUGGGGCUAAUACCGGAUAGGAGCUCCUGCUGCAUGGUGGGGGUUGGAAAGUUUCGGCGGUUGGGGAUGGACUCGCGGCUUAUCAGCUUGUUGGUGGGGUAGUGGCUUACCAAGGCUUUGACGGGUAGCCGGCCUGGGAGGGUGACCGGCGACAUGGGGACUAAGAUACGGCCCAGACGCCAACGGGAGGCAGCAGUGGGGAAUAUUGCACAGUGGGCGGAAGCCUGAUGCAGAAACGCCGCGUGCGGGAUGACGGCCUUCGGGUUGUAAACCGCUUUCGCCUGUGACGAAGCGUGAGUGACGGUAAUGGGUAAAGAAGCACCGGCUAACUACGUG
rnacentral:rRNA from 1 species